GACGAACGCUGGCGGCGUGCCUAAUACAUGCAAGUAGAACGCUGAAGGAGGAGCUUGCUUCUCUGGAUGAGUUGCGAACGGGUGAGUAACGCGUAGGUAACCUGCCUGGUAGCGGGGGAUAACUAUUGGAAACGAUAGCUAAUACCGCAUAAGAGUAGAUGUUGCAUGACAUUUGCUUAAAAGGUGCAAUUGCAUCACUACCAGAUGGACCUGCGUUGUAUUAGCUAGUUGGUGGGGUAACGGCUUACCAAGGCGACGAUACAUAGCCGACCUGAGAGGGGGAUCGGCCACGCUGGGACUGAGACACGGCCCAGACUCCUACGGGAGGCAGCAGUAGGGAAUCUUCGGCAAUGGACGGAAGUCUGACCGAGCAACGCCGCGUGAGUGAAGAAGGUUUUCGGAUCGUAAAGCUCUGUUGUAAGAGAAGAACGAGUGUGAGAGUGGAAAGUUCACACUGUGACGGUAUCUUACCAGAAAGGGACGGCUAACUACGUG
rnacentral:rRNA from 1 species